rnacentral:rRNA from 1 species
AGAAUGAACGUUGGCGGCGUGGAUUAGGCAUGCAAGUCGAGCGAUAACCUUCCUUCGGGAAGGGGAAGGCGGCGUAAGGGAGAGUAACGCGUGGAUAUCUGCCCUCGGAUUCGGGAUAGCUGCGGGAAACUGCAGGUAAUACCGAAUAACGUCUACGGACCAAAGGUGUGAUUCCGUCCGAGGAUGAGUCCGCGUCCUAUUAGCUAGUUGGUAGGGUAAUGGCCUACCAAGGCAAUGAUGGGUACUGGGUGUGAGAGCACGACCCGGCUCACUGGGACUGAGACACUGCCCAGACACCUACGGGUGGCUGCAGUCGAGGAUCUUCGGCAAUGGGCGCAAGCCUGACCGAGCGACGCCGCGUGCGGGAUGAAGGCCCUCGGGUUGUAAACCGCUGUCAGAGGGAGGAAAUGCGCGGGGGUUCUCCCCCGUGUUUGACCUAUCCUCAGAGGAAGUACGGCUAAGUUCGUGCCAGCAGCCGC